CAAGGGGUACUAUAUCUUCACAGUAUUG
rnacentral:sRNA from 1 species